GAUGAAGAACGCAGCGAAAUGCGAUAAGUAAUGUGAAUUGCAGAAUUCAGUGAAUCAUCGAAUCUUUGAACGCACAUUGCGCCCGCCAGUAUUCUGGCGGGCAUGCCUGUUCGAGCGUCAUUUCAACCAUCAAGCCCCAGGCUUGUGUUGGGGACCUGCGGCUGCCGCAGGCCCUGAAAACCAGUGGCGGGCUCGCUGUCACACCGGGCGUAGUAGAUUUUAUCUCGCUCAGGGCGUGCUGCGGGUUCCGGCCGUAAAAAGCCUUAUUUACCCAAGGUUGACCUCGGAUCAGGUAGGAAGACCCGCUGAACUUAAGCAUAUCAAUAAGCGGAGGA
rnacentral:misc_RNA from 1 species